CAAAAGGCCGAGAAGCGAUAUAUUUCUCAUUCCAAAGGCCAGAAACACUGAAAAGGAACCCUUAUGCUGAGAGCUGGUAAAAGACAAAGAAGAAACAUAAGUUGUAAUGGAGGAAGAAGCUUUAAAGUGCCCAGUCUUCUGAGGACAUCCUACACCAUCACUGUCGGUCAGAUGGGACUGAAAUAAGCAAGCCUUAGACAGACCCCAAACUGUCUCUGGUGCCUGGACACGUGGAAAGCAAUGGGCAUCAUCAGUUCAAGGCAUGUGGCUGAUGCUCUGUCUCAGUGAUUCAACUGGAAAAGGAGGAAAGGAGGUCCCAUGGUGGAUGUUAUACACCCAUCAACGGUGGAGAGGAAGAUAAAGACACAACUAUUACUCUAGACUGUAAGCUCAUCCCACACUUCAUAAGUCACCUAUGUGUCCGUAAUUUUACCUGAGAUCUCCAGGGCCAGAUGUGUCUUGGUUUUAGUAUUACUGGAUUUUAUAAAGAUAUAGGUGAAGAUAAUAUGUAACUGUGUUAUGAUCCAUAAUCAAAUACAUUAAUACUU
rnacentral:lncRNA from 1 species